rnacentral:lncRNA from 1 species
NNNNNUCAACCUGUAUUUAUUCUUGUCUUUUUCAUCUCUUUCCCCUUUGUAAGAUGUGCCUCAAUCCACCGCAGGGGUCCUCAUGAAAGCGAUCUCCAAACCUCCAGUCCGCUCAGGGGUCUCUGUAAUUGUGCUCCCGUUCAAGUAAAUUCUGUAUGUUUUCGUCCUAGAAAUAGUCACAAUUAUAACAAAAUAAUCCAUCAUCUAACUAGUUGUUUGAUAUCGGUUUUAGUUCUUACAAUGAACGUUGCAUGCGGGCAAGGGUGUUCUGGUUCGACACUGACCCCCAGCUCCCAGGCCAGUGGCUUGAGCACAGCAGCCAUUCCAUAAAUGGUGGGGGAGCAAACAGGAUCCAAUUACUUUAUUAAUUUUCCUGACUGUUCUUUGGCGAUUACUCUAAUUCUAAAACUGCAGUCCUUGGGUUUCAACAGCAGUAAGGAUUGCUGCUUUGCUGACAAGUGCACUCUCUCCUUGUAGGCAAAUGGACCUGAGACUAAGCCUUCAGAAUCCAAAUUACCAUGGAAACAGCCUUGAGGCCUACCAGUUCGCUGUGCUUCUCACACUGGAGGGAGCUGGAGGCCCAGACAAGUCCGGGGUCCUGCAUUUCCUCCCAGCCGCCCUUCCUUCAGACCGUUCCAUUUCUUCCUCAAAGCCUGUGUCGAUGUAGAAGAUAAUCCUCUAGACGUAAGAAGAAAUGAGAGAAGUCAGUAACAAGAUGCAGAGAAUUCUAGAGGAAAGAUGGAAAAAUAAGAGUGACCCGGUCGUCAUAUGCAACACAGAGAAGGCUCAAUGGGAGACACAAAUGUCUGUCACCAAUGACUUGAAUGCUCUUCAGUUCAUGAACUGAUGCUGGUUUUGUUUCAUUCUCCCUACUUUACACCACCGCAUGCUUUCUCUCCUGAAACACCUUUCGUUCUCCAAAUAAACUGGGCUUUUGAAACAGCUCAGACAAAUAACUAUACCAGCAAAAUCUCCCUUUUGCGUUGUCUGGUCUCUCCUCUUCUCUGAGAACGUUGAUGGACAGAGUGCUGGAUGGAUCACGCCCCAGUCUUGAGCGCCCUGCCCCUGCCUUUAGGAAGUCACGAAAAUGUGAACAGAAACCCUCAAGCCCUGUCUAUCUUCCAAGGGUGUUGUGAGGAUCAAAAGUGUUAAGAUCUGGGAAACCAUUUCAAAUCUUGGACAAGAACCACAAAUGACACGUGAUGCAGGACCAAAGGAUAGAUCUUAAGUUCGAUUGCCCUGUCUUUUCCCAUCUAUCAUAUUUCAGCAGCUUGGCUGAAAUUAAGAAAUGACUGACACAUGGUGCAGCCUGUGGUGGGUGCACACCAUUGUCUGGAAGAUGUGAAUCAUUCCAAGA